UACGUAGGGUGCAAGCGUUAAUCGGAAUUGCUGGGCGUAAAGCGUGCGCAGGCGGUUCGGAAAGAGAGGUGUGAAAUCCCAGGGCUUAACCUUGGAACUGCACUUCUAACUACCGGGCUAGAGUACGUCAGAGGGGGGUAGAAUUCCACGUGUAGCAGUGAAAUGCGUAGAGAUGUGGAGGAAUACCGAUGGCGAAGGCAGCCCCCUGGGAUGAUACUGACGCUCAUGCACGAAAGCGUGGGGAGCAAACAGG
rnacentral:rRNA from 1 species